CUUUAGUUCAUUUAUUUUAGUUUAGUUAAAUUUUGUAUGACACACUAAAAGCAUGACAGUAACACUUAAACAUGCUUGCAUUGUUUGUGCAUACAAGUGUUAAAACUUGAGCAAUAUGAGAAUCGAUCAAUCAUCAAAAUUUGAGUCGUUUGAUCAUUGAUGUGACUUGUUGAGGUUUAGAUUACCAUAUAUGUGGAGAAAUAUGGUUAGGAUCAACUAGGAUUGAAUUGUGGAAGAAACUAGUGAAAACGUGAAAAAUCAUGAUUUUGGGCCGUAGGCAAAACUACAAGAUCAUUUCAAAAAAAGGUCAGACCAUUUCUCCAAAUCAGUCUAACCGAUUAUCAAAACGAUCAGACUGUUUUGUGCAGUAUAAAAACUGCAUCAGCCCUUCUCUCUUCAAAAACCCGACUUCUUUCAAUUUCUUUAGUAUUUCUCUCUUUCUACAAACCCUAAACCCCCAAAAACCUUCCCUAAAGUUUUUAUACUUCAAUUAAACACUAAAUCCUAACUCAAAACUCCUUAGAAUCAUCUAUAUUAGGAUUAUUUGUGUUCAAACACCUAUAAAAUCAAAAGUCCAACUUUGUAUUCUCUCGAAUUCCUAUUGAAGAACAAUGCCUAGAGUGAAGAUCUCAUCAAGGAGGAGUGUUCAAAGAUUCGAUGACUAUCUCUUUGUUUUCGAAGAUGCAAAAAAGAGAUACAACGAAGAUUUCAAAACUAGACAAAUUGCUCCACCAAGAUAUGUGGAUUAAGGUGAUUUUAGAAGGAUGAAUGUGUUAAAUUACUUUGAGAAUAUUGGUUGGAAUAGUUAAUAUAAAUGUCAUAUCGAUGUUUUAUGCAAAUUCGAGUGUUGAAGAGAAAGAUGAUGAUAUUUAUAUUAGUAGUUAUGCCCAUGGAGUUAAAAUAUAUUUAAACUCAAAUGUCCUAGUUCAGAUUUUGGAGAUUAUUAGGGGAGAUUUUACUAGAACUUUUGCCUCUCACCAAUUUAAUGAAGCACCAAACACACCAACAUCUCUUUGAGCAAAUGAGAUUAGUUUUUGGGAGAAUUUUAGAUGAUGAAGAAAGAGCUAUUGCAAUGUCUUUAUCUUGUAAUAUGUAUAUUUUGCAUUCAAUAGUUAGUUGAAUUUUGUUGCCUAAAGGAGGGCACAAAAAAGAAUUAAAAUUUAUAGAUCUGUGGAUUAUGACUUGUAUUGUGGAUGGAAAACCAUUUGAUUUAGCUUACAUGAUUUUGAAGCAUAUGAGCAAUGUUAUCAAAUGAAUGUAAAUAAGGACUUAAGUAUGUGGAGCUAUUAUAACUAAGAUUUUCAUUGCUUUUGAUUGAAUAUUAUAGAAUAUAAGGAUGAACAUAAUAUUGGAAGAGAUCAUAUUUAUAAUGCCGCAAAGUUAAGAGAAUGAGGGAUGUUUUAUGUUGAUGAUGUGUGGAUUUAUGAUCCUUUAAAGGAACUUAGUGCAAGAAAAUUAAAACUAGGUCCAAGACAAAAGAUCCUUAAAAAUAGGCCAACCACCUAUGCCUUCACCUCAACCUCAAUCAACAUUUGAAGAAGGUUUUUCGAGUGCUCCACUUUCCCUAAAAUUAAUUCCAUGACCACAUUUUCUAGCAUCAACACCUGUUUUCUUUCAUCUUUUUUUCUUUUUCUAGUCUCAUUGUACCACUUUUCUACUAAGGCUACAUUUGGUAUUGCGGUGAACUACAUGUUGCACCGAAACAAAAGGCAUGAAUGGUCUAUUAUUCCUAAUCAAUCCCUUUUCUUCCAUAUUAUUCCAUAUCCAUAACAAAGAAUGGCCUGCCCCAUUGAAUCCCACAUAAUUACUAUAAGAAAUGCACCACCAAGCUAGCUCUAAAAUCAUCUCACAUAGCAAGACUCUCCUUUCUUUCAUAAACAUGCAACAAUUCAUUCAAGCAUGGAUGGAAAUCAUCGUAAUCCUCUUGUGAUCAAGGAUCAAGUCCCUCCUUGAAGCUAGCAAAAUUGUAAGAUUGCCUGGACAACCACCAAUUAGUUUCCAACAAUUCUCUAGCUAUAUCAUAGUGAUUGGUGGAGCACUUGUAUGCACAAACAACGCAAGCAUAUAGUUCAGGUUUAAAUGUUACUAUCAUGCUUUUAGUGUGUCAUACAAAAACUAACUAAUCUAAAAUAAAUGAACUAAAGUUUAGAUCACUAACCUCUAGUAGUAGUUUUCUACUAGGUUGAAUGCAAUCACCAUUGGUUGUUGAAAGGCUUGUCCAUUCUCCUAAAAACCUUGUGGAAUCAUCUUGGUGAUGAUAGCCGUAUUGUGGUUGGAAUCUUGGCAUUGGCUUCAUGUACCUUUGAUCUUUGUGUACCGGACACACAUUUCUCCAUAGCCUUAUAUAUUGUUGAGAUUGAUACACAUUUUUUUUGGUCCUUGGUUGAUAUUCUGGACCAAAGGAUUUGGCCUUCCUAAAGGCCUUUUGUUUAUAGGUCUUGGUUGUCCUCCUAUGUGCCUUUAAUGUCGGUUACCUCCCAUUUGAUAUCUUUAGGGUUGAGGCCUUAAACGUCAUUGUUGCACAUUUCUUCUACCAUAAUUCUUCCACUGCGGGUUUCUUUUAACUUGGCUUUUAUGGAAGUAAGGCGUUUCUUGCCUUUGCCAUUGGUUUUUCCUUUGCAAGUUGCCUCUCAAUUGUAGAUUAUGGAAUUGAGGCUUUGUUGAUCAUGACUAGUGUUCCUUCUUUGUCGGAACCCUUUCCUUGCUCCUCCAUUCCUAGAAUUCCUGCGAUAAGCAUUUUUAGGUAUCCUUUUUAACAUUAAGUUCUUGUUUGUUAGGCAUUGUACCUUUCAGUACCCACAUCAUAUUUUUAGGAAUGAUAUUUUUUUUAAUCUAUAUUUAUGCGAUAAAUAACCUUUCUUAUUGCAAAAAUUACAUAUAGAAAAAUUACUAUACAUGAUAGAUUGAUUAACAUGCUCAUUGGAUUUUUGUUUUUGUACACAAUUAAAACCUAAACCACUUUUAUUUAGGCUCUUAUUUUGUCCUCCUAACAAAACAUCCAAGUUAUCUCUAUCUUGAGUAAACUUGGCUAAAGUUGAAGUGAAGUCUUCAACUUGUUUUCUAAGAGCACCAUUUUGAUUUUUCAAAUCCUUUAAUGAUGAGGAACAACUAUCAAUACCACAUAAUGAUUCAUUUACUUGUGUUAAUCUAUCACAUUUUUCAAGCAAAUUAUUAUUUUCAGUUUUCAAAUUUUCAUGCAUCUUUUCCAAGUUUUUUAUUAAUCUUUCUAUACAUCUUGUUCUUUUUAUGCAAGGCUUCACAUAAGGUAAUUAAGUCAUCAAAACUCACAUCAACAUCUUCAUCUUGUUCAAUGAAGUUUGAGCUAGGUGAGUCUAUAUUAUCUUCAUAUACUAUUGUUCUAGAAAAUCUAAUUCAUUAAAGUCAAUGAUCUUUAACUCUAAGACGGUUAAGUCUUAUAGUAAGAGCACAAGCUCUGAUACCAAUUGUUGGACCCUAUUACAAAAUCUUGAUUGUCGAAGUCGAUAACCGUUAUAUUUAGAAGUUCUUCGUUCUUGACCUUUGCGAAUCAUUUCCUUUGCUUGUUUGAUGAUUUCUUGAAUGUUGUAAACUUCUCUAAAUCAUCGCAAGGGUGUGUGCAACAUAUAAUACACAUAUUGUUUGUACCCUAUGCUGAAAGGGGGGCACUACUGGUUCUUUAUUAGUUCAGACCAUUCUUGCAGGUUAGGAUUGUUUUUUCUCAUUUCCUAGGGGGGUCAUGCUGCAGGUGUCUUUAGGGCACUUCUCUCACAUAUACUCAAAACGAAUCGGAAUGUCCUUGAUUUUGUGUUUUUUAUCGUUGCUUAGCUGGAUUGGAUGAUGCCUUUUGCACCAAUAAUCUUUUGUACACUUCUUUCUAUAAAAUCUUCUCUUUUCAUAUAAA